rnacentral:tRNA from 1 species
GUAGGGAUAGUUUACUAUAAAACAUAACUCUGAAAAAGUUAAAAUGGUUUUCCUACCUCCCAACA